UGGUUUUGAUCCUGCCCAGUAGUCAUAUGCUUGUCUCAAAGAUUAAGCCAUGCAUGUCUAAGUAUAAGCAAUUUAUACAGUGAAACUGCGAAUGGCUCAUUAAAUCAGUUAUCGUUUAUUUGAUAGUUUCUUUACUACAUGGAAUACCUGUGGUAAUUCUAGAGCUAAUACAUGCCUUAAAAUCCCAACUUACGAAGGGAUGUAUUUUAUUAGAUAAAAAAUCAAUGUCUUCGGACUUCUGAUGAUUCAUAAUAACUUUUCGAAUCGCAUGGCUUUAUGCUGGCGAUGGUUCAUUCCAAUUUCUGCCCUAUCAACUUUUGAUGGUAGGAUAGUGGCCUACCAUGGUUUCAACGGGUAACGGGGGAAUAAGUGUUCGAUUCCGGAGAGGGAGCCUGAGAAACGGCUACACAUCCAAGGAAGGCAGCAGGCGCGCAAAUUACCCAAUCCUAAUUCAGGGAGGUAUGUAGACAAUAAAUAAGCGAUAACAGGCUUUAUGUCUUGUAAUGGAAUGAGUACAAUUUAAAUACCUUAACGAGGAACAAUUGGAGGGCAAGUCUGGUGCCAGCAGCCGCGGUAAUUCCAGCUCCAAUAGCGUAUAGUAAAGUUUGUUGCAGUUAAAAAGCUCGUAGUUAACUCUUGGGCUUGGAGAAUCGGUCCAACUUUGUUGUGUACGUCUCUCCAGGUCUUUACCCUUCUGGUUCUCAUUUGGGGUUACUCCAUUUGUUGACCAGGAUUUUUACUUUGAAAAAAUUAGAGUGUUCAAAGCAGGCGUUUUGCUCGAAUAUAAUUAUCAUGGGAAUAAUAGAUAGGACGAUUGGUUCUAUUUUGUUGGUUCUAGGACCAUCGUAAUGAUAAUAGGGUACGGUCGGGGGCAUCAGUAUUCAGUGUGUCAGAGGGUGAAAUUCUUGGAUUUACUGAAGACUAACUACUCGCGAAAGCAUUUGUUCAGGACGUUUUCCUUAAAUCAAGACGAAAGUUAGGGGAUCGAAGAGGAUCAGAUACCGUCGUAGUCUUAACCAUAAACUAUGCCGACUAGGGAUCGGGCGGUGCCUUUUAUUGGCCCACUCGGCACCUUACGAGAAAAAUCAAAGUUUUGGGUUCUGGGGGGAGUAUGGUCGCAAGGCUGAAACUUAAAGGAAUUGACGGAAGGGCACCACCAGGAGUGGAGCCUGCGGCUUAAUUUUGACUCAACACGGGGAAACUCACCAGGUCCAGACACAAUAAGGAUUGACAGAUUGAGAGCUCUUUCUUGAUUUUGUGGGUGGUGGUGCAUGGGCCGUUCUUAGUUGGUGGUGAGUGAUUUGUCUGCUUAAUUGCGAUAACGAACGAGACCUUAGCCCUUAAAUAGAGUUGCUGGCAUUUGCUGGUAAAUCUUCUAUGGGGACUAUCGAUUUCAAGUCGAUGGAAGUUUGAGGCAAUAACAGGUCUGUGAUGCCCUUAGACGUUCUGGGCCGCACGCGCGCUACACUGACGGAGCCAGCGAGCUUUUCCUUAGCCGAGAGGUUUGGGGUAAUCUUGUGAAACUCCGUCGUGCUGGGGAUAGAGCAUUGUAAUUAUUGGCCUCUUCAACGAGGAAUUCCUAGUAAGCGCAAGUCAUCAGCUUGCGUUGAUUUACGUCCCUGCCCUUUGUACACACCGCCCGUCGCUAGUACCGAUUGAAUGGCUUAGUGAGGCUUCAGGAUUUGCUUAGAUCGAGGGGGCAACUCUCUUUCAGAGCGGAGAAUCUAGUCAAACUUGGUCAUUUAGAGGAAACUAAAAGUCGUAUAACAAGGUUUCCGUAGGUGAACCUGCGGAAG
rnacentral:rRNA from 1 species